UACGUAGGGUGCAAGCGUUGUCCGGAAUCAUUGGGCGUAAAGCGCGUGUAGGCGGCCCGGUAAGUCCGCUGUGAAAGUCCAGGGCUCAACCCUGGGAUGCCGGUGGAUACUGUCGGGCUCGAGUCCGGAAGAGGCGAGUCGAAUUCCUGGUGUAGCGGUGAAAUGCGCAGAUAUCAGGAGGAACACCAAUGGCGAAGGCAGCUCGCUGGGACGUGACUGACGCUGAGACGCGAAAGCGUGGGGAGCAAACAGG
rnacentral:rRNA from 1 species